GUGUGCUGAGGAACUCUGUCCUCCUCUAGAAGGCAGAUUUCCUAUCUGCCCCUCCUCAGAGGAGUCAGUGUUCAUCCCUCUUCCCUGAAGACCUUUCGUGAAUGCACUCACUUGAAGAAGAGACGCACGACAAAUGUUCUGAGACUGAGAAAUUCUCUCCUGCAUCCAGAUUUGAACUUGGGACCAUCUCAUGUGUCUCAGUGGUAUCCUCUGGAGAGUUGUGCAGUUCUGAAGUGGAAGAAAACAGCAGCAACAAAAUUAUUGAUACAUAGCAUAGUCUGGGUCUGUGUCAUUUUAAAACAUAUAUGGAGUAGAUAUUUUGUUUCUGCCAUUGUUACCACCCAUGGUAAUUCCUCACACAAAAUUAAAGAGAACUUAUUAAAAUUAUGUAUGUGGUGGGUAUCACUGGGAUUGGGUAUCUUCUAUAUAUUUUUAGAGAUGUAUACAGAAUAUUGGGAACUCAAAUAUGUUUAAAAUAUGAUAUACAUUCACUAGUGGUUAGAUAUUAUUACUAUUGCUAUUUUUAUUGGCUCAAUUUCCUGGUAAUAAAUUGUGCCAGUGAAAGCUGUGGAGUAUAAGUUUCAUGAGGAAUUGUGAAUGUUGACUCAUUUAUUUUGGUGAAUGUAGAGUCAUAUACAUGGAAGGGUUGAUGUGAAUAUGAAUAAAAGAUGGACCUGCAUGCAAAGAUACAAAUUGUUAGAUGGUUCUCUAGGAACUGGGCAUGGCACAGCUAAGCAUUCAAAUGAAGACUUUACAGACUUGAUCCCAGUUCAUCUUUCAGAAAUGUGAUAUAGGAGGUAGAACGUGGCAAACUGACUAGAGAAGUGGGAGGGACCUGUAAAUUACAAGACUCCAGGGCAGUGCCAGAUGAUUCUCUGGACCCCAUAUGUAGAACUUCCUAUGAGCUCCACAAGAUAUGGACAUCAUGAGGAAGACCAGAAACCGGGAGGAGCUCGCUAUCUUUACUCUUCACAGUAGCCCACCCUGGGUUUCCCAAACCCAGGGUGUAUUUUUAAUUUUUGCUCUUUUUACCUUUUCUUUUUUUGGCUCAAGUUUGCUCUACAGAGCUAGUUUUUCCCUUACCCCUUCACCCUUCAUUUUUCAAAUAAAUUUUUGGGAGAUAGAAAAAUGAACAUGGUGAGUUUUGGAAACAGAACCUGGGCAGUUUUGGAGAAAAGGGGUCAUUUAUUCAGUUGUUGAACAAACAGGGUCUGCUCCACCUCUGUUCCACCUCAGACCUUUG
rnacentral:lncRNA from 1 species